rnacentral:rRNA from 1 species
GAUGAACGCUGGCGGCGUGCCUAAUACAUGCGAGUCGAGCGAACAGACGAGGAGCUUGCUCCUUUGACGUUAGCGGCGGACGGGUGAGUAACACGUGGGUAACCUACCUAUAAGACUGGGAUAACUUCGGGAAACCGGAGCUAAUACCGGAUAAUAUUUCGAACCGCAUGGUUCGAUAGUGAAAGAUGGCUCUGCUGUCACUUAUAGAUGGACCUGCGCCGUAUUAGCUAGUUGGUAAGGUAACGGCUUACCAAGGCAACGAUGCGUAGCCGACCUGAGAGGGUGAUCGGCCACACUGGAACUGAGGCACGGUCCAGACUCCUACGGGAGGCAGCAGUAGGGAAUCUUCCGCAAUGGGCGAAAGCCUGACGGAGCAACGCCGCGUGAGUGAUGAAGGUCUUCGGAUCGUAAAACUCUGUUAUUAGGGAAGAACAAACGUGUAAGUAACUGUGCACGUCUUGACGGUACCUAAUCAGAAAGCCACGGCUAACUACGUG